CUGCUCUACCCAAAAUUACAACCAGCAUUACCGCAAAAAUGGAAGAGGAAAGUGGAAGGGGGAAAAAGUAAGGAACUUGUCUGUCGGCCCUGCAUUAAAGACCAUAAUUGACCAUCAGGCUCCAUGUUGUAGUUCAGGUAGUGACAUCAGGCUCCAUGUUGUAGUUCAGGUAGUGACAUCAGGCUCCAUGUUGUAGUUCAGGUAGUGACAUCAGGCUCCAUGUUGUAGUUCAGAUAGUGACAUCAGGCUCCAUGUUGUAGUUCAGGUAGUGACAUCAGGCUCCAUGUUGUAGUUCAGGUAGUGACAUCAGGCUCCAUGUUGUAGUUCAGAUAGUGACAUCAGGCUCCAUGUUGUAGUUCAAGACUCAUCCUUGUUGCGUCAUCUCUAGCUGCCUCUAAUUUCCUCUGGGCCAAAACGCAAGCGAGCCUAAACUAUUGUUUUAUCUCUGACCCCUUGCUAUCCAGCAGCCAAAGGUCAUGUUAGGCUGUGUCCCAAAAUGGCACCCUAUACCCUAUACAGUGAACUACCUCUGACCAGAGCUCUGGUGGCACCAAAUAGGGGAAUAGGAUGCCAUUUGGGACUUGUACUUAAUUUUUGUUGUUGUUUCUGUUGAAGGAGUUUAAACAGGCUACACAGAGACAACACAUUGUGACCUAACACUUACUGGUUACUGGGCCACACAGAAUGUAGACUGAGUCUGUUAGUGCUGUCAUGCACACCAUCCUUCUACCUCGCUGUCAUAUUUUUAUUGUUUUAUUCAUAUUAUUAGCCUUCUUCGGAGCACACACAUACUAUUUCAACAAAAAUAAAUGUAGAGCUUUAUUUCUACAUCUACAUACAGUACGGAGACUUUUUAGUGUCCAAAAAUAAGGAGGUUAAAUACAUGUAUUUUUCCUGAUCUUUCCUAUAUAUCUCUCAGAUAUAGGACAGACACUUCAGAACAAACUUAUUUUAGAUACUUUUUGGGGGGACUAUCUGUUGUUCCAUGUCGUGAAUCUGUUAUUCAAUGUGCUUGUAUGGGAUAACAGCAGUAAGGACUAUCUGUUGUUCCAUGUAGUGAAUCUGUUAUUCAAUGUGCUUGUAUGGGAUAACAGCAGUAAGGACUAUCUGUUGUUCCAUGUCGUGAAUCUGUUAUUCAAUGUGCUUGUAUGGGAUAACAGCAGUAAGGAUUAUCUGUUGUUCGAUGUAGUGAAUCUGUUAUUCAAUGUGCUUGUAUGGGAUAACAGCAGUAAGGACUAUCUGUUGUUCGAUGUAGUGAAUCUGUUAUUCAAGGCCCAAUUUUUUUUUUUGUGAUACUUCAAGGUGUCUUCAAACUUCAAACCAAAUACCUAAAUGAUCCAUGGUAUAACCUUUUUAAACAAUUCCAUAGAGUUGAAUAAGCCUUGAGACAAUUGAGACAUGGAUUGUGUACAUGCGCCAUUCAGAGGGUGAAUGGGCAAGACAAAAGAUGUAAGUGCCUUUGAACAGGAUAUGGUAGUAGGUGCCAAGCUUGUGUCAAGAACUGCAACGCUGCUGGGUUUUUGACGCUCAACAGUUUCCUGUGUGUAUCAACAAUGGUCCAUCACCCAAAGGACAUCCAGCCAACUGGACACAACUGUGGGGAAGCAUUGGAUUCAACAUAGGCUGAAGCAUCCCUGCGGAACGCUUUCGACACCUUGUAGAGUCCAUGCCCUGACGAAUUAAGGCUGUUCUUCAUCCCAGUUCACUUGCUUUGGGUCAAACUGACCCUUAUGGUCUGUUGUCCGUCUUUCCUCCGCUAUGGCAGGAACAGGGAACAGGGAGUUCAGUAUGUGGGGCUUGUGUUGUGCUGUGUUGUCAUCCCGAAUGGCACCCUAUUCCCUAAUUAGUGCACUACUUUUGACCAGGAUCCAUAAGGCUCUGGUUAAUAGUAGUGCACUGUGUAGGGAAUAGGGUGCCAUUUGGGACAUAGCCUCAGUUUCUGGAUUGAUUGGUAAUGAAAGGCUCAAGUAGCAGUUGGCAGUCUGUCUCUACGUUCUCCCCUUGCAACUUACAAGUCAAGCCAGAAGCUGUUUAACUCACACACAAAUAAUCACCAUGCAGGCAGGGCAGACAUAAGUUUACAGCCCUUACAAGGCUGCACGUGCUUCUGAUGGUAAUCACCCAGAUUGUCGAAUUUGUUUGUCUUUUACCAACGUUCCCAGAAAGAGGCUCCUCUCCUUGGCAGAUAGAGCUGGUGUUAGGCCUCUGGUGAUGCCAGCUUGGUUCUAGGAAACCACACCAACUACACUUGAUGAAUGCUAUGUGCAACUGUGUGUGAGUCUCAAAUGGUACCCGAUUCCUUAUUAGUCCUGGUUCAAAGUAGUGCACUAAAUAGGGACUAGGGUACCAUUUGGGAUGCAUCCCAUCACUCCCUGAGGCAAGUUCCCUCAGAAUACCUUAAGGCACCCUGGAUUUAGUUUCAAUUUACCGGUCAUGAUAAAUAUAUAAUCAACAUGUAUUUUCACUUACUGAAUGUAACCAUUAUGCAACCAGUCAGUGGAUACUGUGGUUCUCUUCCAGGUUAUAGGUCAAUCUUCUGGAACACUGAAGAACUCACAAUGUUGUUUACAGGUUGAGACAUCUUCUUGUUUUUUC
rnacentral:lncRNA from 1 species